UACAGAGGGUGCGAGCGUUGUCCGGAAUUAUUGGGCGUAAAGAGCUCGUAGGCGGCUUGUCACGUCUGCUGUGAAAUCCCGGGGCUCAACCCCGGGCGUGCAGUGGAUACGGGCUGGCUAGAGGCAGGCAGGGGAGAACGGAAUUCCCGGUGUAGCGGUGAAAUGCGCAGAUAUCGGGAGGAACACCGGUGGCGAAGGCGGUUCUCUGGGCCGAUACUGACGCUGAGGAGCGAAAGCGUGGGGAGCGAACAGG
rnacentral:rRNA from 1 species